rnacentral:tRNA from 1 species
GCGUGGGUAGUACAACGGCUAGUAUUUCGGCCUUCCAAGCCGAUGAUCCGGGAAAUACUCGGAUAUUCGAAUCCCGGCCUGCGCA